CACAACGCAGCUCCGCCCUCGCAAAGGCACAGCGCGGGCGCAGGCGCGGGGCGGUGCACAGCGCGGGCGCAGGCGCCGAGAGGCGCACGGGAGACCUCAGGCCCAGACUCCACUCCCCAGCUGUGAAAGGACUGCUGGCCAGACCCCCAAGCUAGCCCGCCAGGCCUCCAUAGAGCUGCCCAGCAUGGCUGCGUCCAGUACCAAGAGUUGGUGGGAGACGGGUGAAGUACAGGCUCAGUCUGCGGCCAAGACUCCAUCCUGCAAGACUCUUUGGCAGUUGCACUGGGUACUGGCUGAGUUCUGGAAAACAGGAAUGUGAGCAGAGUGCUGCAGAUCUCCUUGUCAGGAGCACCUAAGAACUGGCAUGACUCUACACCCUCUCUCCUUCUGCAAUGACCUCGUGUCAAGAUGGCAGACCUGCAGAGAUGAAUGUGCCUGGAUACCUGAGUCACCAGGUGGAGGAAACUCCCAUUGACAUGCAUCACACUCCACAUAUGAAACCCUUCUUUUUCUGCACUGUCACUGGGGUUAGGGAUUAUUACUCACUGCAACUUAGCCUAGCAUUAAGUUGCUUGACUAAUACAAGUUUCAAUAAAUGUCGCUUCAUUUCCCAUGGC
ensembl:lncRNA LSP1P5 LSP1 pseudogene 5